UGGUUCACUUACUGAUGGUGUUUUUACAUGUCACGUCAUCUUCAUAUUAUCAGGAAGUCAAGAUGUGAUAUUAUUUUGAGUAGAGGUGGGUCAAUUUUUCCCCAGGUGGCUUCUGUAGAUGAAGACCAAGCCUGUUGGUGACUACAACCACGGGGUUGAGUGGUACAAUGAGACAGCUCUGCAACACUGGACUUGGGACUCUUCAAAGAUGCCCUACUGGUGCUAGACAGGUCAACUUGAAAAGAAAACAAAGGCAUUGGAAAGAGGCCCAAGGGACUUGAGGUCAAAUUUCAGCUCCAUAACUUACCAGGCUCCAAUCAUGAAGAAAUAUUACUUCAGGAAAGAAUAGAGAAGCCACAUCGCUACUAACUGUUGACAUGUUUGUCAUAGGAUUCAAUGUCUGAAAUAAAGCACUGCAGGUCUGACUGGUUCUGUUGUCUGGAAUAAAACAGCAAGAAAUGGGAGCCAAUUCCACAAAAGAGCAGGGCUUGAGCAACGAAGGGAAGCUCUAUCUUCAAUCCUAGUUUUUCUUCCCUUCUCACUGCUUCGCUCCCCUAUCCCUUCCCCUGCCCUACUCCUCCCAUGGUUUCCAAAACUACAAUCUUAAUAAAAUCCCAGGUGGAAGGAAAGGAAGAGCUAAAGUAGCAUGUAAAUUAGAUAAGUUGGUCUUGAUCCUUGAUAUGGUCCUUCAGUUGACAAAUUACAACAGCAGAAUUAAGUUUACUAAUAGAUUCAGAGGUUUCAAUUUGUGGCCUUAAAAAAUCAUAACUGGUAAAUCCGCCGGUUUGGUCAGGUUAGUCAGGCUGCUUUGGGUACCUACCUACCCUAAGACAUACGCAAAGCCCAGAAAUUACACUUUGGGUCAAUCUCCUGAGAUUACUACCUCCUUGGCAGAUUGUUAUGGACCCCCUGAGCAUUAACUCAGAACUAUUUCCAACUUAAAAUCUUGAAGCCCCAUCUUGAAGUAAGUUCAGGUCUAAAUUGAAAGGAAUACGGGUUCAAUCUCUCCAUUCACCUCUUGUGUUCUCACAUCAGUCAUUUUCUUCCAGCACAGCUCAGACAAAACCACUUAUUAACAGAGUAGAAGUUGUCAGAACCAAUGAGGCAGGAAGAAGUCGUUUGGGACUAGGAGCAGAUGUUUCAUCAACACAAGUGGACACACUUAAGUCCUUGUCAAGUUUCCUCAUGAUUUCUCCCAUGCAGAGUUACAAGGAACCAGUGAAAAUACUUUUUGCCAACUGAAAAUGCAAGUUACUGAGAAGGUCAUUUGAUCUUGUGGCUUAUGAAAGGAAAGAACUGGGAGUGUGGAGGCAUGUCAAUGGUAACUGACGCUACCAGUGGCAAAACUGGCUCACUUCCAACUGACUCAGAUUGGCCAAGAAGACCUGACAAGUGUAUCAGAUAGGAGUUUAUAAAAAAUUGG